rnacentral:rRNA from 1 species
AUUGAACGCUGGCGGCAGGCCUAACACAUGCAAGUCGAACGAGUGGCGGACGGGUGAGUAAUGUCCGGGAAACUGCCUGAUGGAGGGGGAUAACUACUGGAAACGGUAGCUAAUACCGCAUACCAUCAGAUGUGCCCAGAUGGGAUUAGCUAGUUGGUGGGGUAAAGGCUCACCAAGUCGACGAUCCCUAGCUGGUCUGAGAGGAUGACCAGCCACACUGAAACUGAGACACGGUCCAGAUUCCAACUGGAGGCAGCAGUGAGGAAUAUUGCACAAUGGGCGCAAGCCUGAUACAGCCAAGCCGCGUGUAUGAAGAAAGCCUUCGGGUUGUAAAAUACUUUCAGCGAGGAGGCGUUACCCGCAGAAGAAGCACCGGCUAACACCGUGCCAACGGCCGCGGUAAUUC